AUGAAAUGCAACAAGUGGGGCAAAACAAAGGAAAUAGAGACAGAAUGCGUUGUGCCCACGAGGAAAAGUACAGUUAUUGCUAAAACUGAUUGUAAAGUUGUGGUGGUCAUAUCAGAGAAAGGAGGUUUUUGGGAAAUUACAAGACAACAACUUGAACACAACCACGAGUUAACACCAAACAGUAGAUUCUUCAGGUCACAUAAGUACAUGUCGGAUGAAGAGAAGUGCUUGAUACGGGUUUUGAAGCAUACUAACCUGGAAACAAGAAGGAUUGUUGCUGUCCUAGCUUACUUGAGAGGAGGAAUGGCUCAUCUUCCCUACACAAAGAAGCAUGUGACUAACUAUGCAGCAACAAUAAACAGAGAUAUCACAAACUCUGACAUGAUGGAAGUAGUGCACAUGUUCAACAAGAAGCAAGCAGAAAAUCCUGGAUUUUGCUACUCAUUUGAGCUUGAUGGAGACAAUAAAGUGAGAAGCUUAUUCUGGACAGAUGUUAGGUCAAGAAUGAUGUAUGACAUUUGCGAUGACUGCAUCAGUUUUGACACUACAUUCCUGACAAACAGAUACAACCUGCCGUUUGCACCCUUUGUUGGAAUAUCCCCGCAUGGAAACACAUACUUGUUUGCUUGUGCCUUCAUUAUCAACGAGACAAAAGAAACAUUUGCUUGGUUGUUUGAACAAUUCCUACUGGCUAUGGGAGGGAAGCAUCCUAUAUCGAUCAUUACAGAUCAGGACAAGGCUAUGCAAGCAGCAAUUGAAAAAUUGUUUCCUAAUGCUACCCAUAGGAGCUGCCUAUUUCACAUAAAGAAAAAGGCAGAGGAGAAAGUAGGUCCAUGUUUCCAAGCUAAUGAAGGCCUAUAUGAAGAUUUUCAGGACAUUGUGGACAACUCUUUGACUGUGGAAGAAUUUGAAACACAAUGGCAAGAAAUGAUUGAAAAGUAUCAAGUACAUGACAUAAAGUACUUCAGCGACAUGUGGGAAAAUAGGAAAAAGUUCAUCCCGGUGUAUUUCAAGGACAAAUUCUUCCCAUUCAUACAAAUUACAGCAAGAAGUGAAGGAACAAAUUCUCUCUUCAAAAAAGGGGUUGGAGCUAAAUUUAGUGCUACUAGCUUUUUAAGAGAGUAUGAUCGGAUUCUUGAUGUUGUACAUGACAGGGAAGAAGAAUGUGAUCAUGUUUCUAGAAACAAGAAGGUUGCAAGCAAAGCGUUCUGGUCAAAAUACAGCAUAGAAAGGCAAGCCCAUGAGUUAUACAACCUUGGGAUAUUUAGAAAGUUUCAGCAUAAAAUGGCAGACACAACAAGGCUGCAUGUCUUUGAGCAAGAAAAAGACAAAUACUACAUAGUUACCCAAGCUAAAAACUACCCUGUAAAAGAACGCCGGAAAAGGUUUUACCUAGUGCAAGUUGGAUUGAAAGAAGAAGAGUACUCCUGCAUCUGUUGCACAUUCCAAAAAGAUGGAUUGUUGUGCUCACACAUACUACGAGUAAUGAUCCAUCUCAACAUUGAGAAGAUGCUAGAAAAGUAAAUCAUUUACAGAUGGAGGAAAAAUAACUACAAGCUCGACAUUACAAAGACACCAGCUGUUGCAGCAGAGAACUCCACACUAAGGUACAAUGUGUUAGCAAGGAAAUUGGUGCAUGUGGCAUCAAUAGCUUCAAAGAAGAAGAGGAAGUAUGAAUAUCUGCUGGGAGAAUUGGACAGGAUACAGAAAAGAUUGCGAGAAAUGGAUGAUGAAGAAGAAAAUGGAGAUGAGGGACAGAGUGUAACCACAAGAACAGUCACUUUCAUACCAACAGCAGGAGGUGAAGAAGGGACAACCACGGCACUGACAAUACAAGACCCAGAUAUAGCCAAAACAAAGGGUAGGCCAAGGAUGCUAACUAUUCGCGAAGCAAUAAAACAGAACAAGUUCUACAAAUGCUCGCAUUGUGGAUCGGAAAGGCACACUCUCAAGAAUUGCACCAACCUUGACAAAGAAUACAAUCUACCCAGAAGCAACAGACGAAAGCAGUCCAACCCUAGGAAUGUGAAAAAAGGUAUUUUAAUAAUCAUCUUGUACCCCUGUGCUACACUUACUUUAAUUCAAGAAUUUGUAAAUAACAAAAAAUGCAGGUGGGGAGAAGGAUGGCAGCAAGCAUUCGAACAGAGGAAAGAAGAAGAAGGACGAAUGAGCAACAACAAAGGCUUAGGGGACAAGAAUGAGAGGAGGAGAUAG
rnacentral:rRNA from 1 species